rnacentral:rRNA from 1 species
GAUGAACGCUGGCGGCGUGCCUAAUACAUGCAAGUCGAGCGAACGGACGAGAAGCUCGCUUCUCUGAUGUUAGCGGCGGACGGGUGAGUAACACGUGGAUAACCUACCUAUAAGACUGGGAUAACUUCGGGAAACCGGAGCUAAUACCAGAGAAUAUUUUGAACCGCAUGGAUCAAAAGUGAAUGACGGUCUUGCUGUCUCUUAUAGAUGGAUCCGUGCUGCAUUAGCUAGUUGGUAAGGUAACGGCUUACCAAGGCAACGAUGCGUAGCCGACCUGAGAGGGUGAUCGGCCACACUGGAACUGAGACACGGUCCAGACUCCUACGGGAGGCAGCAGUAGGGAAUCUUCCGCAAUGGGCGAAAGCCUGACGCAGCAACGCCGCGUGAGUGAUGAAGGUCUUCGGAUCGUAAAGCUCUGUUAUUAGGGAAGAACAUAUGUGUAAGUAACUGUGGACAUCUUGACGGUACCUAAACAGAAAGCCACGGCUAACUACGUG